rnacentral:rRNA from 1 species
UACGUAGGGUGCAAGCGUUGUCCGGAAUUAUUGGGCGUAAAGAGCUCGUAGGCGGUUUGUUGCGUCGGCUGUGAAAUCCCGAGGCUCAACCUCGGGUCUGCAGUCGAUACGAGCAAACUAGAGUGUUGCAGGGGAGACUGGAAUUCCUGGUGUAGCGGUGAAAUGCGCAGAUAUCAGGAGGAACACCGGUGGCGAAGGCGGGUCUCUGGGCAACAACUGACGCUGAGGAGCGAAAGCGUGGAGAGCGAACAGG